AAGUUCAUGCCCACCUCCAUGCCUUUGACGGUGACCAGACAUACCUCCCAAAACACAGGCGGCCUCAGAGGCCCAGAGAGGAGAGAAGUCAGCCUAUAGGCCCCCUUCUGGAUCAGUGGCCUCACCCAACCUAACAGGGUUCUCUUCUUCCUCUUCUUUCUUUAAAUGCUUACUUUCUUUUAAAAUAUAUAUAUAUAUAUAUAUAUCUCCUGACAGGCACAGUGGCAUACGUCUGUAAUCCCAGUGGUCAGGGAGGCUGAGGCGGGAGGA
rnacentral:sRNA from 1 species